rnacentral:lncRNA from 1 species
UAUAGAUACAGCUCCUACAGGGUGCUCAUCUAACAUUCAGUUUCAUUUCUCCAUAGGAAUAAUUAGCUGGCAAUGAGAAAAAUCAUUUGAUUAGGCCCACAACUGAUUAGAGGCUUGUGCAUAGCCUAUUGAAAUAAAGAUACAAAUUGAUUUCAGCAUGUUUUGGGUGAGCCCGUCUUCCAAAGCAAAUAGAGAGAUAAGACAGCAUCUGCUGAGUAUUCACCUGCCAAGUCUUUGUGCUGAUCUCUAAUUUUAGGUCCUGCAGGCAAGUGUCCAGGUUAUUUACCACCUGGGCUGUUUUGGUCUUCUCUCAAAUGUGUGUAUUGAUGGACGAGCUCUCUUAUCUACACCACAAUAAUACUGGCCCAACUAUACCAGCAGCAUGAGGCCCAGGAUCAAUACUGAUUCCUCCCUCAUUCAGCUGAACAGCAUUUUAUUUGUCUAAUUAUUAAUAUCUAUUAAAUGCCUGAACUGGAAAAAUCUUGACUAAGCAGUCUAAAAUGAGUGAGUUGGACAGGCUAUAGACAUGCAGAGUAUUGCCAUUACUGUACAAUAUGGGAUGUGCCUGCAAUCUUCCCAUCACAGAUUCACUUUCCAUCACAGCUGAUACAAAUGAUAGGACCCUAUGGCUGGCAGCAGAUUUGCAUCCGCCACAUUAGGUAUUAUUUUUUCCCUAAUGGGAACAGAACUCAACAAUUUGCAUACAUAAUUGCUGCAAUUAAUUAAUAAUUUAAAAAGCAAUAAUUAAUAAUUAAAUAAUUUAUUACUGCUAUAAUUAAUCUGUUACAGAUAUCUGUCCUCUGAUAAAACCUGUUCCCCCAUAUAGGUAUGCAUGCACUUGGUUCUUGAAUAAUGGGUUUAUGGAAAGACAUCUCAGGUAGAGCUCUAAAUUAGAGCCUUCUCAUUUAAUUAACUGAUUCACACAGACUAAAACUGAGUAGAUUUUGCAUGUCCACGCACCCAGGAUGCAUGAACUCAUUCUUCCAUAUCGGGAUGGAUUUUCACACCAAAAACCAAUACAAAUUCAUUGGGGCUUCUUCCUAUAACUCAGAAGUUACGACUGUCAGAUACACAGGACACAGGUGCCUUGGGUAAGAAAAUGCUAUUUUUUACAUUCAGAGGAUAGAUGUAAUUGAGACUGUGUUACCACUGCCUGAUUUUAUUCAUAAAGCUCACAGCUUCCUCCCUCCUUUAGUGAACAAUCUGUUUGCUGCAGACAGGCUGGUUUCAAC